AUAUUCGUCACCUAGGGAUCUUGUUAAAAAGCAGAGUCUGAUUGAGGGGCCAAGAUUCUGCAUUUUUAGCAAGCUCUCAAGUGAUGCUAAU
rnacentral:pre_miRNA from 7 species